rnacentral:rRNA from 1 species
GACGAACGCUGGCGGCGUGCCUAAUNNNNCAAAGUCGAACGCUUUUUCUUUCACCGGAGCUUGCUCCACCGAAAGAAAAAGAGUGGCGAACGGGUGAGUAACACGUGGGUAACCUGCCCAUCAGAAGGGGAUAACACUUGGAAACAGGUGCUAAUACCGUAUAACAAGUAAAACCGCAUGGUUUUACUUUGAAAGGCGCUUUUGCGUCACUGAUGGAUGGACCCGCGGUGCAUUAGCUAGUUGGUGAGGUAACGGCUCACCAAGGCAACGAUGCAUAGCCGACCUGAGAGGGUGAUCGGCCACAUUGGGACUGAGACACGGCCCAAACUCCUACGGGAGGCAGCAGUAGGGAAUCUUCGGCAAUGGACGAAAGUCUGACCGAGCAACGCCGCGUGAGUGAAGAAGGUUUUAGGAUCGUAAAACUCUGUUGUUAGAGAAGAACAAGGAUGAGAGUAAAAUGUUCAUCCCUUGACGGUAUCUAACCAGAAAGCCACGGCUAACUACGUGCCAGCAGCCGCGGUAAUACGUAGGUGGCAAGCGUUGUCCGGAUUUAUUGGGCGUAAAGCGAGCGCAGGCGGUUUCUUAAGUCUGAUGUGAAAGCCCCCGGCUCAACCGGGGAGGGUCAUUGGAAACUGGGAAACUUGAGUGCAGAAGAGGAGAGUGGAAUUCCAUGUGUAGCGGUGAAAUGCGUAGAUAUAUGGAGGAACACCAGUGGCGAAGGCGGCUCUCUGGUCUGUAACUGACGCUGAGGCUCGAAAGCGUGGGGAGCAAGCAGG